rnacentral:rRNA from 1 species
AUACGGAGGGUGCAAGCGUUACUCGGAAUCACUGGGCGUAAAGCGCGCGCAGGCGGCCUGAUAAGUUGGAUGUGAAAGCCUACGGCUCAACCGUAGAACUGCAUCCAAAACUGUCAGGCUAGAGUGUGGGAGAGGAAGAUGGAAUUAGUUGUGUAGGGGUAAAAUCCGUAGAGAUAACUAGGAAUACCAAAAGCGAAGGCAAUCUUCUGGAACACUACUGACGCUGAGGCGCGAAGGCGUGGGGAGCAAACAGGAGUAGAAACCCGUGUAGUCC